AACGUGGGGUAACCCUSCCCCAUAAAGAMUGAGAUWACUCCGGGGAAACCMGGGGGCUAAUACCCGGAUAACAUUUUGAMCCGCAUGGRUUSGAAAUWGAAAAGGSGGGCUUUCGGSUGUCACUUWAWGGAUGGMCCCCGUCGCAUUAGCUAGUUGGUGAGGUAACGGCUCACCAAGGCAACGAKMGUARCCGACCUGAGAGGGUGAUCGSCCCMCCAYUGGGAMUGAGACACGGCCCAGACUCCUACGGGAGGCAGCAGUAGGGAAUYUUCCMCAAUGGACGAAAGUCUGACGGAGCAACSCCGCGUGAGUGAUGAAGGCUUUCGGGUCGUAAAACUCUGUUGUUAGGGAAGAACAAGUGCUAGUUGAAUAAGCUGGCACCUUGACGGUACCUAACCAGAAAGCCACGGCUAACUACGUGCCAGCAGCCGCGGUAAUACGUAGGUGGCAAGCGUUAUCCGGAAUUAUUGGGCGUAAAGCGCGCGCAGGUGGUUUCUUAAGUCUGAUGUGAAAGCCCACGGCUCAACCGUGGAGGGUCAUUGGAAACUGGGAGACUUGAGUGCAGAAGAGGAAAGUGGAAUUCCAUGUGUAGCGGUGAAAUGCGUAGAGAUAUGGAGGAACACCAGUGGCGAAGGCGACUUUCUGGUCUGUAACUGACACUGAGGCGCGAAAGCGUGGGGAGCAAACAGGAUUAGAUACCCUGGUAGUCCACGCCGUAAACGAWRAGUGCUAAGUGUUAGAGGKUUUCCGCCCYUUAGUGCWGAAGUUAACGCAWUWAAGGCAACUCCSSCC
rnacentral:rRNA from 1 species